rnacentral:rRNA from 1 species
UACGUAGGGCGCAAGCGUUAUCCGGAAUUAUUGGGCGUAAAGAGCUCGUAGGCGGUUUGUCGCGUCUGCCGUGAAAGUCCGGGGCUCAACUCCGGAUCUGCGGUGGGUACGGGCAGACUAGAGUGAUGUAGGGGAGACUGGAAUUCCUGGUGUAGCGGUGAAAUGCGCAGAUAUCAGGAGGAACACCGGUGGCGAAGGCGGGUCUCUGGGCAGUAACUGACGCUGAGGAGCGAAAGCGUGGGUAGCAAACAGG